rnacentral:rRNA from 1 species
UACCAGCACCCCGAGUGGUCGGGACGUUUAUUGGGCCUAAAGCAUCCGUAGCCGGUUCUACAAGUCUUCCGUUAAAUCCACCUGCUUAACAGAUGGGCUGCGGAAGAUACUAUAGAGCUAGGAGGCGGGAGAGGCAAGCGGUACUCGAUGGGGUAGGGGUAAAAAUCCGUUUGAUCCAUUGAAGACCACCGGUGGCGAAGGCGGGCUUGCCAGAAUGCGCUCGACGGUGAGGGAUGAAAGCUGGGGGAGCAAACCGG